rnacentral:rRNA from 1 species
AUUGAACGCUGGCGGUAUGCCUUACACAUGCAAGUCGAACGGUAGAGGGGCAACCCUUGAGAGUGGCGAACGGGUGAGUAAUACAUCGGAACGUGCCCAGUCGUGGGGGAUAACGUAGCGAAAGCUACGCGAAUACCGACUACGAACUGAGGGUGAAAGCGGGCGAUCGCAAGACCUCGCGCGCUUGGAGCCGGCGAUGGCAGAUUAGGUAGUGGGUGGGGUAAAGGCCUACCAAGCCUGCGAUCUGUAGCUGGUCUGAGAGGACGACCAGCCACACUGGGACUGAGACACGGCCCAGACUCCUACGGGAGGCAGCAGUGGGGAAUUUUGGACAAUGGGCGCAAGCCUGAUCCAGCCAUACCGCGUGCGGGAAGAAGGCCUUCGGGUUGUAAACCGCUUUUGUCAGGGAAGAAAUCUUCUGGGCUAAUACCUCGGGAGGAUGACGGUACCUGAAGAAUAAGCACCGGCUAACUACGUGCCAGCAGCCGCGGUAAUAC